rnacentral:rRNA from 1 species
UACGUAGGGGGCAAGCGUUGUCCGGAUUUAUUGGGCGUAAAGAGCGUGUAGGCGGCUGGGUAGGUCCGCUGUGAAAACUCGAGGCUUAACCUCGAGACGUCGGUGGAAACCAUCCAGCUAGAGUCCGGAAGAGGAGAGUGGAAUUCCUGGUGUAGCGGUGAAAUGCGCAGAUAUCAGGAAGAACACCCGUGGCGAAAGCGGCUCUCUGGGACGGUACUGACGCUGAGACGCGAAAGCGCGGGGAGCAAACAGG